ACUGUUUCCAUGCAUGGAGAGCAGGGGUCAAAGCCACUACAGCUCUGGCAGGUGCCCCAAGCCAAGGGGAGAAGGAGGGAGGUCACUGCUUACCCUGGAAUCCAGGCACCCUCCCUGAGUCUGUCCAUCCCUGGUUUGGGCUGGGAAGUACAGGUGGUGCCCUUCCUCUGGUGACCCCGUUCCUUGCCCAGGUCCCCAUUUUCUAGAAUCUGGGGAGCAGCAUCUUCAAUGGAAUGAAGAGACCAGUUAUGGUAAAAAGAAACUGAAGCUGAAAUGUGGGGCCCACUUUUCCUUACACAUUAAGAUUGAAUAUAAAGUUGUUUGGCUCCUCAGUGGUGGAUGAACCACCCUCGUGUUGGUUUUUAUUCAUGGAUGAUUUUUCUUCCCAAGGAACAUUUACCAAUGUCCGGAAACCUUUUUGGUUGUCACAGCUGGGGCAGUGGGUAUACUGCUGGUAUAGAUGGAUAGAAGCCAAAAAAACUGCCAAUCGGCUUAUAGGGCACAGCACAGCUUCUAUGAAAUGCAAAGUAGAAGACACCCCAAAGGCAAAUGCAUGGACAUCAGAGUUUGUUUAGGUUUGCUGAAUGGAGACUUUUCAGAAUUAAUAAGUUCAAACAACUUUCAUUCACAGGUCUGUGGUUUAUACUGAAUCCACGAGACCACAGGUCAGCAAAGGAGCCUGCAGACCCAAUGACUCCAACUGCAUGCACUUGUGACUCUGCCUGCGGGCCUUCUCUGACCUGGUCAGAAACCUGGAGCGAUAGUGCCCUGAGAGUAGACCUCAAGCCAAGACUGAUGCGAACUGAAGCAAGAAAGUACCUUCUUUACCACUCAGGCUUUCUGGUAACUGAUUCUCCCGCUCAUAAACGCCUACAGGGAGCAGAGAGGUACGUAGCCAUUUCUCUUCAGUAG
rnacentral:lncRNA from 1 species